rnacentral:rRNA from 1 species
ACGAACGCUGGCGGCGUGCUUAACACCUGCAAGUCGAACGGAAAGGCCCUGCUUUUGUGGGGUGCUCGAGUGGCGAACGGGUGAUUAACACGUGAGUAACCUGCCCUUGACUUUGGGAUAACUUCAGGAAACUGGGGCUAAUACCGGAUAGGAGCUCCUGCUGCAUGGUGGGGGUUGGAAAGUUUCGGCGGUUGGGGAUGGACUCGCGGCUUAUCAGCUUGUUGGUGGGGUAGUGGCUUACCAAGGCUUUGACGGGUAGCCGGCCUGAGAGGGUGACCGGCCACAUUGGGACUGAGAUACGGCCCAGACUCCUACGGGAGGCAGCAGUGGGGAAUAUUGCACAAUGGGCGGAAGCCUGAUGCAGCAACGCCGCGUGCGGGAUGACGGCCUUCGGGUUGUAAACCGCUUUCGCCUGUGACGAAGCGUGAGUGACGGUAAUGGGUAAAGAAGCACCGGCUAACUACGUG